rnacentral:rRNA from 1 species
AGUAAGAGCUUGCUCUUAUGGGUGGCGAGUGGCGGACGGGUGAGGAAUACAUCGGAAUCUACCUUUUCGUGGGGGAUAACGUAGGGAAACUUACGCUAAUACCGCAUACGACCUUCGGGUGAAAGCAGGGGACCUUCGGGCCUUGCGCGGAUAGAUGAGCCGAUGUCGGAUUAGCUAGUUGGCGGGGUAAAGGCCCACCAAGGCGACGAUCCGUAGCUGGUCUGAGAGGAUGAUCAGCCACACUGGAACUGAGACACGGUCCAGACUCCUACGGGAGGCAGCAGUGGGGAAUAUUGGACAAUGGGCGCAAGCCUGAUCCAGCCAUACCGCGUGGGUGAAGAAGGCCUUCGGGUUGUAAAGCCCUUUUGUUGGGAAAGAAAAGCAGUCGGCUAAUACCCGGUUGUUCUGACGGUACCCAAAGAAUAAGCACCGGCUAACUUCGUGCCAGCAGCCGCGGUAAUACGAAGGGUGCAAGCGUUACUCGGAAUUACUGGGCGUAAAGCGUGCGUAGGUGGUUGUUUAAGUCUGUUGUGAAAGCCCUGGGCUCAACCUGGGAAUUGCAGUGGAUACUGGGCGACUAGAGUGUGGUAGAGGGUAGUGGAAUUCCCGGUGUAGCAGUGAAAUGCGUAGAGAU